rnacentral:rRNA from 1 species
UGUAAGUCGGGGCGGAGGGGGUGGUGAAUGCGGUGGUUGCAAGGGUGAUCGGGAUUUAUUGGGUUUAAAGGGUGCGAAGGCGGACCGGUAAUGCAGGGGUGAACGCCUACAGCUGAACUGUAGAACUGCCGUUGAUACUGUCGGUCUUGAGUGUGGUUGAGGUAGCUGGAAUGAGUAGUGUAGCGGUGAAAUGCAUAGAUAUUACUCAGAACACCAAUUGCGAAGGCAGGUUACCAAGUCACAACUGACGCUGAUGGACGAAAGCGUGGGGAGCGAACAGGAUUAGAUACCCCGGUAGUC